AUUGAACGCUGGCGGCCGGCCUAACACAUGCAAGUCGAACGAGUGGCGGACGGGUGAGUAAUGUCUGGGAAACUGCCCGAUGGAGGGGGAUAACUACUGGAAACGGUAGCUAAUACCGCAUACCAUCGGCAGUGCCCCGAUGGGAUUAGCUAGUAGGUGGGGUAACGGCUCACCUACGCGACGAUCCCUAGCUGGUUGGAGAGGAUGACCAGCCACACUGGAACUGAGACAGGGGCCAGCCUCCUACGGGAGGACGCAGUGGGGAAUAUUGCACAAUGGGGGCAAGCCGGAUGCAGCAAUGCCGCGUGUAUGAAGAAGGCCUUCGGUUUGUAAAGUACUUUCAGCGGGGCGGCGUUACUCGCAGAAGAAGCACCGGCUAACUCCGUGCCAGCAGCCGCGGUAAUUC
rnacentral:rRNA from 1 species